AUACCUAGUCAGAGAGAUACCAUCAUUAUGAAGGGGUUUUUACCAGGGUAAGGCUUAUCCAAUGAACGCCAGAUGUGCUGACCCCUGCAAUUACUUCAAAUGAUAAAAACUUGAUUGCAUAAUUUGUGGUAAUCUGGUACUGUGUUAACAACUUUCUC
rnacentral:snRNA from 1 species